GUUUAAUUGUUAUACUAUCAUUAGUAAUUUUAACUUCAUCGAUUUCGAUCAAAAGAAGGAUUUAAUUUCAUGGAUUCCAAUUCCACCGUCGAGGAAUCCGCCAACAAGAUUGAGGAUGAGGUCGCUAGAGUGGUUGAGCAGGCCAAAGACCUGCAGGAUUCUGCGGCUUCUUUAAUCUCAAGGUCUUCCAACGAUGAACAGCCCCCCCGCCAGCGUGUUCUUUCCCUCGACUCUUCCAUACGUCGCUGCCGCUCCCUCCUCGAUUCUCUCCUCUCCCAUAAGCUUCUCGAUUCCAAGCUAGCUGAUAAGCUCGAAGAGGAUUUACAUAGAGCUAGAUGUAUCAUGGUUGAUGGAGACGCCGCUGCUUUUCUUCCAACCAAAGCUCAGGGGGGUUUUCUCAAGAUGUUUCUGGGACCUAUAAAUGUCCGAGCCUCUCGUAAAGAUGUUCAAUUGAAGGUCAAGGAGGAGUACAACAGUUACAGGGAUAGAACGGCCCUUCUAUUUCUACUUUUCCCAUCAGUUCUACUAAUCCUAAGAUCUUGGGUCUGGAAUGGAUGCUUGCCGGCAUUUCCUGUUCAACUCUACCAGGCAUGGCUAUUGUUCCUCUAUACCGGCUUGGCUUUGCGAGAAAACAUUUUAAGAGCCAAUGGAAGUGAUAUUCGUCCAUGGUGGAUAUACCAUCAUUACUGUGCUAUGAUUAUGGCCCUUGUUAGUCUCACAUGGGAGAUUAAGGGACAACCAAAUUGUGCCCAGAAGCAGAGAGGGGUGCAACUUUUCUUGCAAUGGGCAAUAAUGCAAGGUGUUUCAAUGCUUCUACAGAACAGAUAUCAACGCCAAAGACUUUAUACUCGUAUUGCCUUGGGGAAGGCCAAGAGAAUGGAUGUUGUUUGGGGUGAAACAGCUGGAGUGGAAGGCCAAUUAUGGCUUUUGUGCCCUAUUCUCUUCAUUUUACAGGGUUUUGAGGCAUAUGUUGGACUUCUGUUGCUCAGGACUGCAUUCGUAAGGGUUGUAUCUGAGUGGCAGGUAAUAUUCUGUGGGAUCCUUCUGGUUUUUAUGGCAGCUGGAAAUUUCCUCAAUACUGUUCAGACACUUGUGGCAAAAUCGAGGUUUAAGGCAAAAAUGAAAAGAAGUAAGAGCAAGCAAGAAUUGGAUUGACGCAAUUUCAAUCUGUUAGGAUUACUCUUCCUGUUGCUAUAGGGGCAUAAUUUUGGAAUUUGUACCUGGUACCGGACGUGUUUUGCUGAAGUUGAAGCAACAGAAAAAUUGUAUCAUCUGAUAACUCUUCCUAUCUUCAUUAUUCUGACUCUGACCAUGCUCUUGGUAAAGAAAAGAGUUGGAUGCAAAUGGUAGAAGGAAUGCUUGUUAUUUGUCCUUUGUGUUUUU
rnacentral:misc_RNA from 1 species